AUUAAUAAGCGGAGGAAAAGAAACUAACAAGGAUUCCCUCAGUAACGGCGAGUGAAGCGGGAAAAGCCCAGCACCGAAUCCGCCGCCGUUUUCGGCGGCCGGAACUGUGGUGUUAAGGACAGCCUAUGGGGAUCAGUCGGGAGUCUGAGUCCUCCUGAUCGGGGCUUCACCCAUAGCGGGUGUCAGGCCUCUACGGCUCCCGGUCGGUUCCCUAAGGUGGUCCUAAGAGUCGGGUUGUUUGAGAUUGCAGCCCAAAGCGGGUGGUAAACUCCAUCUAAGGCUAAAUACAGACACGAGUCCGAUAGCGCACAAGUACCGUGAGGGAAAGUU
rnacentral:rRNA from 1 species